UCGUCACCAUGAUGCUCCUGCAGAGUUUCCUUCUUCUGACUCUUUUUUCGGCUGCUCGGGGUCAGUCCCUCACCUCCUCAGAGCCAGUGGUCCACAGAGCAGGAGAGCCAGCCUCUCUGUCCUGUCAAGUACAAGGACUUCCUCUCGCCUGGCUGCACUGGAUUCGUCAAAAACCAGGAAAAGGACUGGAAUGGAUCGGUCGCAUCGAUGGUGGAACUGGAACAAUAUUUGCAUCAAGUGUCCAACACCAGUUCUCAAUCACCAAAGAUACUUCACAGAAUGUUGUGUAUCUAUCUGUGAAGAGUCUGAAACAGGAAGACUCUGCUGUGUAUUAUUGUGCUCGAGAGUCACAGUGACACAAGAGGCAACGACUCUGUACAGAAACUGAAUAACACUGAUCUGAGAGAGGCAGCGGAGAGGCACAUGAGUAGAACAAGGUUAAUAUAAUUAGAUGAUGAGAAAAGAUCAAUUCAGCAAAACUCACACGUUGCUGCUCAUCAGAGGAUCUUUUCAUUUUGUUAGACGUUUUAUUUUGAAAUAUUGGGAAGAUUACAACAGAAACAUUAAAAUGACCUCAUGGGUAGAGAGCCACUAUGGAACAAUGCCCGAUCUUUUCAUUCUCAACUGAAGUUUUUAUUAUCUUUUAAACAAAUUAUAGAUUAGAGUAGAGCAC